AGGCCCGUAGCUCAGGGGUUAGAGCGCCACUCUUAUAAGGUGGAUGUCGGUGGUUCAAAUCCACCCGGGCCUACCA
rnacentral:tRNA from 1 species